UUUUUGUUAGUAUAGGUUGAGUAUAUCUGAUUUCCAAUCAGGAGGGCUGUUAUUGGCAGACAAAAAU
rnacentral:tRNA from 1 species